UACAGAGGUCCCAAGCGUUGUUCGGAUUCACUGGGCGUAAAGGGUGCGUAGGUGGUGAGGUAAGUCGGAUGUGAAAGCUCCGAGCUCAACUCGGAAAUGGCAUUGGAAACUACCUUGCUCGAGGGUUUGAGGGGGGACUGGAAUACUUGGUGUAGCAGUGAAAUGCGUAGAUAUCAAGUAGAACACCAGUGGCGAAGGCGGGUAGCUGGGCCGACACUGACGCUGAGGCGCGAAAGCCAGGGGAGCGAACGGG
rnacentral:rRNA from 1 species